AAAAGAAAAAAUUCCAAAUGAUAUAGACAUGAGAGGAGGAUAGCAAGCCAAGCAUUCUCCCACCUCCUUUAUCAAGAUUCCCUUCCUUUGAGCUCUUGCACCAGAGGCCCCCACAGAUGCCUUCCCUUUGCAACAUUUCAAUGUACUUCCUCAUCUAUAAAUACAUCAAGUGCAUAGCUCUGGAUAUACAUUGCAAGUUAGCAAACUACUUUAGAAACUCAAACAAACUUUUUAGUUCUCAACUCUCUCAAAUUCACCAUGGCUGACAAGUGUGGCAACUGCGAUUGCGCUGACAAGAGCCAGUGUGUGAAGAAAGGAAACAGCUUGGUCAUUGAGACUGAGGAGAGG